GCGGUGAAAUGCGUAGAUAUCGGGAGGAACACCAGUGGCGAAGGCGACUUCCUGGCCUGUUCUUGACGCUGAGGCGCGAAAGCUAGGGUAGCAAACGGGAUUAGAUACCCCGGUAGUCCUAGCCGUAAACGAUGGACACUAGGUGUUGGUGGUAUCAACCCCGCCAGUGCCGAAGCUAACGCAUUAAGUGUCCCGCCUGGGGAGUACGGCCGCAAGGCUAAAACUCAAAGGAAUUGACGG
rnacentral:rRNA from 1 species